CUGGUGCGUGUGAGAGCAUGCUUAAAAGGGAAGCGCGGUGAAAAUCCGCCACUGUCCCGCAACUGUGAUUCGGAGUCUUUUAUGAUAAGCCACUGGGAAACUGGGAAGGCAUAGAAGAUGUGGAUGAGAAGUCAGGAGACCUGCCAGUAUCU
rnacentral:ncRNA from 1 species